UGAGGAAUUUUGGGCAAUGGGCGAAAGCCUGACCCAGCGACGCCGCGUGGAGGAUGAAGGCCUUCGGGUCGUAAACUCCUGUUCUGGGGGAAGAAAACGGGAUGCGUGAAUAAUUCAUCCCGCUGACGGUACCCCAGGAGAAAGCUCCGGCUAAUUACGUGCCAGCAGCCGCGGUAAUACGUAAGGAGCAAGCGUUGUCCGGAUUUACUGGGCGUAAAGAGCUCGUAGGCGGCCGAUCAGGGCUCGCGUAAAAUCCCCCGGCUCAACCGGGAGAGGCGCGGGAAACCGACCGGCUUGAGGACAGAAAAGGAAAGGGGAAUUCCCGGUGUAGCGGUGAAAUGCGUAGAUAUCGGGAGGAAUACCAGUGGUGAAGACGGCUUGCUGGUCUGUUUCUGACGCUGAUGAGCGAAAGCCAGGGGAGCGAACC
rnacentral:rRNA from 1 species